rnacentral:rRNA from 1 species
UACGGAGGGGGCAAGCGUUGUCCGGACUUACUGGGCGUAAAGCGCGUGUAGGCGGCUUGGUAAGUCCGCUCUGAAAGCCUGGGGCUCAACCCCGGGAGGCGGGUGGGUACGGGCAGACUAGAGUGAUGUAGGGGAGACUGGAAUUCCUGGUGUAGCGGUGAAAUGCGCAGAUAUCAGGAGGAACACCGAUGGCGAAGGCAGGUCUCUGGGCAUUAACUGACGCUGAGGAGCGAAAGCAUGGGGAGCGAACAGG